ACUCUUGCGUGCUGAUUAUUGGAGUGUUCUCGGUCUGUGGGGCGUACUUUUGUUUCAAUAAAUCUGUGCUUUUGUUGCUUCAUUCUUUCAUUGCUUUGUUUUUGCGUUUUGUCUAAUUUUUUGUUCAAAAUGCCAAGAACCUGGACAACUCGUAGUCAAGACUCUCCACUAGUAACACAGGGGUUUUUCCAUUUACAGAUUUUAAUUCUAUAUUUCUCAUCUUGAGAAUCUUAGGUUCUAAUUUUCUGGUUUUAGCAAAUGACCUCAGAGAAAGAGCAUUCUAAUUCUGGCUUACUUCUCUGAACGAAUGUUCCCUUCAUUUUUGAUGUGGUGGUUUCUUGGUGUCUUAAUAUUUCUUUAAUGCUUUCAUCAAGACACGUCUUACUCAUAUUUUUUAGUUUCUUUCAGUAGGAAGAUUGUUCCAAAUAGCCUGUCAACCAUCCUGGAAAUUA
rnacentral:lncRNA from 1 species